CAGUAGCCGCGGUAAUACGAAGGGGGCUAGCGUUGUUCGGAAUUACUGGGCGUAAAGGGCGCGUAGGCGGCCAUUCAAGUUAGAUGUGAAAGCCCUGGGCUCAACCUAGGAAUUGCAUUUGAUACUGUUUGGCUUGAGUUCGGGAGAGGUGAGUGGAAUUCCCAGUGUAGAGGUGAAAUUCGUAGAUAUUCGCAGGAACACCAGUGGCGAAGGCGGCUUACUGGUCCACAACUGACGCUGAGGUGCGAAAGCGUGGGGAGCAAACAGGAUUAGAUACCCGCGUAGUCCCUGUCUCUUAUAC
rnacentral:rRNA from 1 species